GUAGGGAAUAUUGCACAAUGGGGGAAACCCUGAUGCAGCGACGCCGCGUGAGUGAUGAAGGCCUUCGGGUCGUAAAGCUCUGUCGUAUGGGACUAACACAAUGAAGGUACCAUGCAAGAAAGGAUCGGCUAACUUCGUGCCAGCAGCCGCGGUAAGACGAGGGAUCCUAGCGUUGUUCGGAAUCAUUGGGCGUAAAGCGGGUGUAGGCGGAUUUAUAAGUCAGGUGUGAAAUCCCAGGGCUCAACCCUGGAAGUGCACUUGAUACUGUAAAUCUUGAGUGUGGCAGAGGUUACUGGAAUUGUUGGUGUAGUGGUGAAAUACGUAGAUAUCAACAGGAAUACCGGAGGCGAAGGCGAGUAACUGGGCCAACACUGACGCUGAGACCCGAAAGCGUGGGGAUCAAACAGGAUUAGAAACCCGUGUAGUCC
rnacentral:rRNA from 1 species